GACGCUGGCGGCAGGCUUAACACAUGCAAGUCGAACGAAGAGGUCUAGCUUGCUAGACUGAUUAGUGGCGAACGGGUGAGUAACAUUUAGGAAUCUACCUUAUAGAGGGGGAUAGCUCGGGGAAACUCGAAUUAAUACCGCAUACGACCUACGGGUGAAAGGGGGCGCAAGCUCUUGCUAUAAGAUGAGCCUAAACCAGAUUAGCUAGUUGGUGGGGUAAAGGCCUACCAAGGCGACGAUCUGUAGCUGGUCUGAGAGGAUGAUCAGCCACACUGGGACUGAGACACGGCCCAGACUCCUACGGGAGGCAGCAGUGGGGAAUAUUGGACAAUGGGCGAAAGCCUGAUCCAGCCAUGCCGCGUGUGUGAAGAAGGCCUUAUGGUUGUAAAGCACUUUAAGUGGGGAGGAAAAGCUUAUGGAUAACACCCAUAGGUUCUGACGUUACCCACAGAAUAAGCACCGGCUAACUCUGUGCCAGCAGCCGCGGUAAUACAGAGGGUGCAAGCGUUAAUCGGAAUUACUGGGCGUAAAGCGAGCGUAGGUGGUUUAUUAAGUCAGAUGUGAAAUCCCUGGGCUUAACCUAGGAACUGCAUCUGAUACUGAUAAACUAGAGUAGGUGAG
rnacentral:rRNA from 1 species